rnacentral:rRNA from 1 species
CAGCAGCCGCGGUAAUACCGAGGGUGCGAGCGUUAAUCGGAUUUACUGGGCGUAAAGCGUGCGUAGGCGGCUUCUUAAGUCGGAUGUGAAAUCCCUGAGCUUAACUUAGGAAUUGCAUUCGAUACUGGGAAGCUAGAGUAUGGGAGAGGAUGGUAGAAUUCCAGGUGUAGCGGUGAAAUGCGUAGAGAUCUGGAGGAAUACCAAUGGCGAAGGCAGCCAUCUGGCCUAAUACUGACGCUGAGGUACGAAAGCAUGGGGAGCAAACAGGAUUAGAUACCCCAGUAGUCCCUGUCUCUUAUAC